rnacentral:lncRNA from 1 species
UUUUAUCUUCUAAAAUAUCUUUUAAGAACAAAAUUAUGGCCGAUAAAGUUACAAAAUAGAUGAUACUUUAGAUAAAACAUAACUUAUAAAUACUCAUUUCAUCAUUUGAGAUAUCUUUCAAAAACAAAACUGUAAUAAAAUUUGAGAUCGGAACAUAAUGAUAUCAAUAAUAUUAAAACUAUCAAAAUGGACUAAUAUCAUACAAAUAAUUCUCAUAAUUGAGGAAGAGAAACCCUAAGUGAACUAAUUGUUUGAAGAGAAUAUAGGUUUCCAAGAAAAUUAAGAAGAAGAAAAAGGGCAAAGUGUGAAAGAAGAAUGAGUUAGUCUUAUUCAAGAAAUAAUGUUGUGAUUUGGGAGAGAGGCAACAUGGUUAUGUUGGUGGUGAUGUGGAACAUAGGUGUGAGAAGGAGAAGAGAUUUGAGACAUGAAAUUAAAGUUGUGUUUUGGUGCACAUGGGUGAGAGUAUGGGUUGUGGUGGUAAUAGAAGAAGGUAUAUAUUUUAGUUUUGGAAGAACAAAGAGAAACCUAACUUUAGUUUAAACUUAUUAGGGAAAUAAUUGAAAGGACCACAAUGCAUCAAUUUCUAUCACCUUUCUUCAUUGUGUCUUCAUCCUUUGUGUUGAGAGACCUUUUGUAAGCACUUGGAUCCCAUAGGACAACUUUGGCUCUUUUCCUUCCUCCAUUGGGCCCUCUUUCAACUACAUCUACAACAAAUUUAUGCUAAAUUUCAAUUUUACCUUUUAUUCUAAUUUUCUUUUACACUUUUAAUUCCUUAAAUAUCAAACUUUACUCAAUUUAGUGUUAAGAAAUUAA